UUCGCAAUGCCCGAAAGGGUGACGAAGCGACGCCGCGUGUGGGAAGAAGGCCUUCGGGUUGUAAACCACUGUUGGGAGUUAGGAAGUGUGGAGGUGUUAAUAGCGCUUUCACUUGACUAAAGCUCCAGAGGAAGCCACGGCUAACUCUGUGCCAGCAGCCGCGGUAAUACAGAGGCGGCAAGCGUUGUUCGGAAUUAUUGGGCGUAAAGAGCACGUAGGCGGCUAUGUAAGUCGGUUGUGAAAGCCUACCGCUCAACGGGAGAACAGCAUCCGAUACUGCAUGGCUUGAGUGCGGGAGGGGAGAGUGGAACUUCUGGUGGAGCGGUGAAAUGCGUAGAUAUCAGAAGGAACGCCGGCGGCGAAAGCGGCUCUCUGGCCCAUAACUGACGCUGAGUGUGCGAAAGCUAGGGGAGCAAACGGGAUUAGAUACCCCGGUAGUCCUAGCCGUAAACGAUGGGCACUAAGUAGAGGGGUUUU
rnacentral:rRNA from 1 species